rnacentral:rRNA from 1 species
AUUGAACGCUGGCGGCAGGCCUAACACAUGCAAGUCGAACGCUGUAGCAAUACAGAGUGGCGCACGGGUGCGUAACGCGUGGGAAUAUGCCCUUCACUACGGAACAACAUCGGGAAACUGAUGCUAAUACCGUAUAAUGACUCCGGUCCAAAGAUUUAUCGGUGAAGGAUUAGCCCGCGUCUGAUUAGCUAGUUGGUGAG